rnacentral:rRNA from 1 species
UGGAUGAACGCUAGCGACAGGCUUAACACAUGCAAGUCGAGGGGCAGCACAGGUAGCAAUACCGGGUGGCGACCGGCGCACGGGUGAGUAACGCGUAUGCAACUUGCCUAUCAGAGGGGGAUAACCCGGCGAAAGUCGGACUAAUACCGCAUGAAGCAGGGAUCCCGCAUGGGAAUAUUUGCUAAAGAUUCAUCGCUGAUAGAUAGGCAUGCGUUCCAUUAGGCAGUUGGCGGGGUAACGGCCCACCAAACCGACGAUGGAUAGGGGUUCUGAGAGGAAGGUCCCCCACAUUGGUACUGAGACACGGACCAAACUCCUACGGGAGGCAGCAGUGAGGAAUAUUGGUCAAUGGCCGAGAGGCUGAACCAGCCAAGUCGCGUGAGGGAUGAAGGUUCUAUGGAUCGUAAACCUCUUUUAUAAGGGAAUAAAGUGCGGGACGUGUCCCGUUUUGUAUGUACCUUAUGAAUAAGGAUCGGCUAACUCCGUGCCAGCAGCCGCGGUAAUACGGAGGAUCCGAGCGUUAUCCGGAUUUAUUGGGUUUAAAGGGUGCGUAGGCGGCCUUUUAAGUCAGCGGUGAAAGUCUGUGGCUCAACCAUAGAAUUGCCGUUGAAACUGGGGGGCUUGAGUAUGUUUGAGGCAGGCGGAAUGCGUGGUGUAGCGGUGAAAUGCAUAGAUAUCACGCAGAACCCCGAUUGCGAAGGCAGCCUGCCAAGCCAUGACUGACGCUGAUGCACGAAAGCGUGGGGAUCAAACAGGAUUAGAUACCCUGGUAGUCCACGCAGUAAACGAUGAUCACUAGCUGUUUGCGAUACACUGUAAGCGGCACAGCGAAAGCGUUAAGUGAUCCACCUGGGGAGUACGCCGGCAACGGUGAAACUCAAAGGAAUUGACGGGGGCCCGCACAAGCGGAGGAACAUGUGGUUUAAUUCGAUGAUACGCGAGGAACCUUACCCGGGUUUGAACGCAUUCGGACCGAGGUGGAAACACCUUUUCUAGCAAUAGCCGUUUGCGAGGUGCUGCAUGGUUGUCGUCAGCUCGUGCCGUGAGGUGUCGGCUUAAGUGCCAUAACGAGCGCAACCCUUGCUACUAGUUACUAACAGGUAAAGCUGAGGACUCUGGUGGGACUGCCAGCGUAAGCUGCGAGGAAGGCGGGGAUGACGUCAAAUCAGCACGGCCCUUACAUCCGGGGCGACACACGUGUUACAAUGGCGUGGACAAAGGGAAGCCACCUGGCGACAGGGAGCGAAUCCCCAAACCACGUCUCAGUUCGGAUCGGAGUCUGCAACCCGACUCCGUGAAGCUGGAUUCGCUAGCAAUCGCGCAUCAGCCAUGGCGCGGUGAAUACGUUCCCGGGCCUUGUACACACCGCCCGUCAAGCCAUGGGAGCCGGGGGUACCUGAAGUCCGUAACCGCGAGGAUCGGCCUAGGGUAAAACUGGUG